AUGCCGCUUCCAAACCGGGGUCCCCCCGACCCGGGCGCUCACCGGGCGGAUUUUGUGAGGAGAAUAACCAGAAUUCUUAUCGUGCCAGCCAGGCUCGCUCCUUGCCUCGCGCCGCGCGGCGCCGGAAGACACACCCCUGACCCCGCGGGCGCGGGUCCCUCGGCGCCGCCGGGCGCCCACAGACGCUCCCGCGGCCGGACCGCGCCUGCAGGCUCCGCACGGCCCCGACGGCGCGCUCCUCGGCGGCCCCGCACGGCCGGCCCGGCAGCCGCGGGGCGGCGUGAGGGCCGCGUCCCCGGCCAGUCCCCGCGGACCCCGGCCGCCCACAGGCCGCCGCGCCUCCGCGGACCAGCCGCCGGCUUCCGGGAGCGGGUGCCGGCGCCAGCCGGACCUCGCCGGGCCCCCUCCGCCGCCCCUCACGGCCCCGGCGCCCCCCGGUCCCGGGCACGAGCCCAGAGGCCCCUCCGGGCUUCCGUCCGCCCGGCCAGCGCCCCCACAGCCCGGCGUCCUCCACAGCGGACGGGCGAGGGGCGGGCGCCCGCGGCCCCGAGCCCCGAGCCCCGCAGCGGAGCGGAGCGGAGCGGCGCCCCCCGCGCCCCCGCCCCCCGAGCGCGUCGGGUCGCCAGCCCCGGCCGCAGCCCACCGGCCGCCCGCCCGCCCGCGCCCGGCAGCCCCGCUCGCGCCCGCUCCUCACCUGCGACGCGCCCGGCCCCCAGCGCACCGCCCGGCCCGGCUGUGUACACCGGAAGUGACGUCUCCGGGCCGGCCCCGCCCCCGCCCCAGGCGGACGCGCGAGUGGCUGCGGCCCCGGGGCUGGAGGCGGCCCCCGCGCGCGGGCCGGGAGGGGGCGCCCUGAGCUCCGUGCCCGGGCGCCGGGAGCUCCCCGAGGGGCCGCUGCGGCGCGGGGGGAGGGGGGGCGGGGGGGCCCGACGGGCGGCCGCCCGGAUCCUGCACCGCGGCGGGGCCUCUGGGCGGCCUCACGUGUUCAGUAUGGAAAUAGGUUCCUCGGCUCCCGAGUGCGCGCGGGGGGCCGCGUCCUGCCCGGCGCCCGGGAACCAACCGGGCGGUGAGCGCCCGCACCCCCGCGUGGCUGGAUGCUCCAGCGGAAACGCAAUAAAAUGGUCACAAACGCCCAUGAGAGAGCGCCAGUUGUGCCAAGUGGUAGGAAGGGAAAGUGGAAGGGGGGGUGGAGAGUCCCCUGACCUAGUGUGGGGGGGUCAUCGGGGACCUCCUGGCCCCGGACGGAGAGCGGGAGCUCAGGUCCUCCGACGGGAGAAGGAAGAAAACAACUUGCAGACGCAGAGAGGGAGGCCCGGUGAGGGCAGAAGAAACGGCAGGUGUCUGGCCUGGGAGCGUCGGGAAACUAGUAAGCUUUAG
rnacentral:lncRNA from 1 species